GGAUGUUGUGUCUGUCGCUCGAUCCACCACCCUACCAUUAUCUCCAUCUGUAAACCACCGAGUGGUUCAAUGGCCACCAACCAUUUCCUCACAUACCCUCCACACUCUUCUUCUAUAUUCCCAAAUAUAUAUAAUACUGUUCACGUGCUUCUGAUUCAACACUGAAAACUACAUGCCAUGCAUGGCCAUAUGGCACAGAUUCUUUAAACAAUACAAAACUAUAUAUUCAGCUGUUUAUUUGGCUAUAUAUAUGCGUGUCCGUGUUUUCACUAAUGCAUGGGGUGGCAGUAGUGACAGUUCAACUUUGGAAAAGAUGUCUGAUCUGAGAGUGUGCACUGGGUAAACCCUGCUUUGUGAUCUUAGCCAGCAAAAAAUAUAAACCAGCCUGGAUUGCUCGAAGCUGAUCAGCUCAAACUAAGAAGGCCAAUAGGCUGGUCUGGUUGGGAGUCAAACUUAUUCAUAGAUGGAGCAUGGAGGUGGACUAAAGAUGUGUGUGUUUUAUUUGCAUUUGCACCUGCACCUCCUUAUUCCCAGCCAUUUUGCUCUUUAGGGUCAUCAUCCUUUUUACAGAGCUAGAAGCUGAGAGAGAGACUAGUAGAUAGAUCAGUCUGCAGGGCAGGGAGGUGCAAGUGCAAAUGCAGACAAAACCCCACAUCAAUAUGUCCAUCUGGUAUAUAUACUCGCAAGCACAAGAUUCAUCUUCCAUGAUGUGAUGAUGGUGGUAAUGUUCUUGGCCUGUUUGACCAUAUAAUGUUAAAGCAUGUGCUCCAUAUUCACUGACCUGAGUAUCAAAGCCAUCAGGAAGCUUGAUUAUGAAAGAAUAGGCAUUGGCAACCCGAGCAGCGGCUUCAACCUCGGCAUCACUAGCACCGGGCCUACCCAACAGUAUGUUUUCUUUGAUUGUGGUGGCAAAGAGUGCUGGCUCUUGGCUUACUAGCCCGAUUUGCUGUCUCAGCCAUCUCAGCUUUAGCGUCUUUAUAUCAUGCCCAUCUAGCAGAACUUGUCCUGCAGACCAAAUAUUCAUUAACGCGGAUUUUCAUUGCUCUUAUAUAGCAUUCAUGAGUGAAUAAAGAGGUCUGUUGUUUAGUGUA